rnacentral:rRNA from 1 species
GAUGAACGCUGGCGGCGUGCCUAAUACAUGCAAGUCGAGCGAACGGACGAGAAGCUUGCUUCUCUGAUGUUAGCGGAGGACGGGUGAGUAACACGUGGAUAACCUACCUAUAAGACUGGGAACACUUCGGGAAACCGGAGCUAAUCCCGGAUAAUAUUUUGAACCGCAUGGUUCAAAAGUGAAAGACGGUCUUGCUGGCACUAAUAGAUGGAUCUCAGCUGCAUUAGCUAGUUGGUAAGGUAACGGGCUACCAAGGCAACUAGGCAUAGCCGAACUGAGAGGCGGAUCGCCCACAUGGGAACUUAGACACGCUCCAUACUCCUACGGUACGCAGCAGUCGGGAAUCUUCCGCAAUGGUGGAAAGCCUUACGGAGCGACGCCGCGUGUGUUAUGAAGGUCUUCGGUUCGUAAUGCUCUGCUAUUGGUGAAGAACAGAUUUCGAAUGAACUGAGCACAUCGUGACGGUACCGAAUCAGAAAGCCACGGCUAACUACGUG